rnacentral:tRNA from 1 species
UCCCUGGUGGUCCAGUGGCUAAGACUCUGUACUCCCAAUGCAGGGGGCCUGGGUUCAAUUCCUGGUCAGAGAA